CACGUAGGGUGCGAGCGUUGUCCGGAAUUACUGGGCGUAAAGCGUGCGCAGGCGGUUUGCUAAGACAGGUGUGAAAUCCCCGGGCUUAACCUGGGAACUGCGCUUGUAACUGGCAAGCUUGAGUGUGGCAGAGGGGGGUGGAAUUCCACGUGUAGCAGUGAAAUGCGUAGAGAUGUGGAGGAACACCGAUGGCGAAGGCAGCCCCCUGGGCUAACACUGACGCUCAUGCACGAAAGCGUGGGGAGCAAACAGG
rnacentral:rRNA from 1 species